CCGGAGACUUGUCAGGUAGAGACAGGGUGCGACUGGGCGAGACGUAUCUCAUUUCUUCCGGGCCUUUGCUCAAAUGUCGCCUUAUCAGAGGGCUUUCCCUUCAAACUUAG
rnacentral:lncRNA from 1 species